rnacentral:misc_RNA from 1 species
GAUGAAGAACGUAGCGAAAUGCGAUAAGUAAUGUGAAUUGUAGAAUUCAGUGAAUCAUCGAAUCUUUGAACGCACAUUGCGCCCCCUGGUAUUCCGGGGGGCAUGCCUGUUCGAGCGUCAUUUCACCACUCAAGCCUCGCUUGGUAUUGGGCAACGCGGUCCGCCGCGUGCCUCAAAUCGUCCGGCUGGGUCUUCUGUCCCCUAAGCGUUGUGGAAACUAUUCGCUAAAGGGUGUUCGGGAGGCUACGCCGUAAAACAACCCCAUUUCUAAGGUUGACCUCGGAUCAGGUAGGGAUACCCGCUGAACUUAAGCAUAUCAAUAAGCGGAGGA